rnacentral:rRNA from 1 species
AACGAACGCUGGCGGCAUGCCUAACACAUGCAAGUCGAACGAGACCUUCGGGUCUAGUGGCGCACGGGUGCGUAACGCGUGGGAACCUGCCCUUAGGUUCGGAAUAACUCCCCGAAAGGGGUGCUAAUACCGGAUAAUGUCUUCGGACCAAAGAUUUAUCGCCUUUGGAUGGGCCCGCGUUGGAUUAGCUAGUUGGUAGGGUAAAAGCCCACCAAGGCGACGAUCCAUAGCUGGUCUGAGAGGAUGAUCAGCCACACUGGGACUGAGACACGGCCCAGACUCCUACGGGAGGCAGCAGUGGGGAAUAUUGGACAAUGGGCGAAAGCCUGAUCCAGCAAUGACGCGUGAGUGAUGAAGGCCUUAGGGUUGUAAAGCCCUUUUACCCGGGAUGAUAAUGACAGUACCGGGAGAAUAAGCGCCGGCUAACUCCGUG